AUUGAACGCUGGCGGCAGGCCUAACACAUGCAAGUCGAGCGGAUGAAGGGAGCUUGCUCCUGGAUUCAGCGGCGGACGGGUGAGUAAUGCCUAGGAAUCUGCCUGGUAGUGGGGAUAACGUCCGGAAACGGGCGCUAAUACCACAUACGUCCUGAGGGAGAAAGUGGGGGAUCUUCGGACCUCACGCUAUCAGAUGAGCCUAGGUCGGAUUAGCUAGUUGGUGGGGUAAAGGCCUACCAAGGCGACGAUCCGUAACUGGUCUGAGAGGAUGAUCAGUCACACUGGAACUGAGACACGGUCCAGACUCCUACGGGAGGCAGCAGUGGGGAAUAUUGGACAAUGGGCGAAAGCCUGAUCCAGCCAUGCCGCGUGUGUGAAGAAGGUCUUCGGAUUGUAAAGCACUUUAAGUUGGGAGGAAGGGCAGUAAGUUAAUACCUUGCUGUUUUGACGUUACCAACAGAAUAAGCACCGGCUAACUUCGUG
rnacentral:rRNA from 1 species